AGUGAACGCUGGCGGUAGGCCUAACACAUGCAAGUCGAACGGCAGCACAGUAAGAGCUUGCUCUUACGGGUGGCGAGUGGCGGACGGGUGAGGAAUACAUCGGAAUCUACUUUUUCGUGGGGGAUAACGUAGGGAAACUUACGCUAAUACCGCAUACGACCUACGGGUGAAGGCAGGGGAUCUUCGGACCUUGCGCGAUUGAAUGAGCCGAUGUCGGAUUAGCUAGUUGGCGGGGUAAAGGCCCACCAAGGCGACGAUCCGUAGCUGGUCUGAGGAUGAUCAGCCACACUGGAACUGAGACACGGUCCAGACUCCUACGGGAGGCAGCAGUGGGGAAUAUUGGACAAAGGGCGCAAGCCUGAUCCAGCCAUACCGCGUGGGUGAAGAAGGCCUUCGGGUUGUAAAGCCCUUUUGUUGGGAAAGAAAAGCAGCAGGUUAAUACCCCGCUGUUCUGACGGUACCCAAAGAAUAAGCACCGGCUAACUUCGUG
rnacentral:rRNA from 1 species